GACGAACGCUGGCGGCGUGCCUAAUACAUGCAAGUCGAACGCAGUGGGGACGGGUGAUUAACACGUGGGUAACCUCCCAUCAGAGGGGAUAACACUUGGAAACAGGUGCUAACCCGCUACUGAUGGAUGAACCCGCGGUGCAUUAGCUAGUUGGUGAGGUACCGGCUAACCAAGGCCACGAUGCAUAGCGGACAUGAGAGGGGAAUCGGCCACACUGGAACGUAGACACGGUCCAUAAUCCUACGUGAGGCAGCAGUGGGGAAUCUUCGGCAAUGGACGAAAGUCUGACCGAGCAACGCCGCGUGAGUGAAGAAGGUUUUCGGAUCGUAAAGCUCUGUUGUUAGAGAAGCGGUAUCUAACCAGAAAGCGACGGCUAACUACGUGCCAGCAGCCGCGGUAAUAC
rnacentral:rRNA from 1 species